UAGUGGAAAGAGCACUGGACUUGGAGGCAGUAAG
rnacentral:miRNA from 1 species